rnacentral:rRNA from 1 species
UACGUAGGGAGCAAGCGUUAUCCGGAUUUACUGGGUGUAAAGGGAGCGCAGACGGAACUGCAAGUCUGAUGUGAAAGCCCGGGGCUCAACCGCGGGACUGCAUUGGAAACUGUAGAUCUGGAGUGCCGGAGGGGCAAGCGGAAUUCCUGGUGUAGCGGUGAAAUGCGUAGAUAUCAGGAGGAACACCGGCGGCGAAGGCGGCUUGCUGGACGGCAACUGACGUUGAGGCUCGAAAGCGUGAGGAGCAAACAGGAUUAGAUA